GGGUUGUGAGGUUAAGCGACUAAGCGUACACGGUGGAUGCCCUGGCAGUCAGAGGCGAUGAAGGACGUGCUAAUCUGCGAAAAGCGUCGGUAAGGUGAUAUGAACCGUUAUAGCCGGCGAUGUCCGAAUGGGGAAACCCAGUGCAAUUCGUUGCACUAUCGUUAACUGAAUACAUAGGUUAACGAGGCGAACCGGGGGAACUGAAACAUCUAAGUACCCCGAGGAAAAGAAAUCAACCGAGAUUCCCCCAGUAGCGGCGAGCGAACGGGGAGCAGCCCAGAGUCUGAAUCAGCUUGUGUGUUAGUGGAACGGUCUGGAAAGUCCGACGGUACAGGGUGAUAGUCCCGUACACCAAAAUGCACAGGUUGUGAACUCGAAGAGUAGGGCGGGACACGUGGUAUCCUGUCUGAAUAUGGGGGGGGACCAUCCUCCAAGGCUAAAUACUCCUGACUGACCGAUAGUGAACCAGUACCGUGAGGGAAAGGCGAAAAGAACCCCGGCGAGGGAGUGAAAAGAACCUGAAACCGUGUACGUACAAGCAGUGGGAGCACCUUCGGGUGUGACUGCGUACCUUUUGUAUAAUGGGUCAGCGACUUAUAUUCUGUAGCAAGGUUAACCGUAUAGGGAGCCGCAGGGAAACCGAGUCUUAACUGGGCGUUAAGUUGCAGGGUAUAGACCCGAAACCCGGUGAUUCAGCCAUGGGCAGGUUGAAGGUUGGGUAACACUAACUGGAGGACCGAACCGACUAAUGUUGAAAAAUUAGCGGAUGACUUGUGGCUGGGGUGAAAGGCCAAUCAAACCGGGAGAUAGCUGGUUCUCCCGAAAGCUAUUUAGGUAGCGCCUCGUGAACUCAUCUUCGGGGUAGAGCACUGUUUCGGCUAGGGGGUCAUCCCGACUUACCAACCCGAUGCAAACUACGAAUACCGAAGAAUGUUAUCACGGGAGACACACGGCGGGUGCUAACGUCCGUCGUGAAGAGGGAAACAACCCAGACCGCCAGCUAAGGUCCCAAAGUCAUGGUUAAGUGGGAAACGAUGUGGGAAGGCACAGACAGCCGUGAUGUUGGCUUAGAAGCAGCCAUCAUUUAAAGAAAGCGUAAUAGCUCACUGGUCGAGUCGGCCUGCGCGGAAGAUGUAACGGGGCUAAACCAUGCACCGAAGCUGCGGCAGCGACGCUUAUGCGUUGUUGGGUAGGGGAGCGUUCUGUAAGCCUGCGAAGGUGACCUGUGAGGGUUGCUGGAGGUAUCAGAAGUGCGAAUGCUGACAUAAGUAACGAUAAAGCGGGUGAAAAGCCCGCUCGCCGGAAGACCAAGGGUUCCUGUCCAACGUUAAUCGGGGCAGGGUGAGUCGACCCUAAGGCGAGGCCGAAAGGCGUAGUCGAUGGGAAACAGGUUAAUAUUCCUGUACUUGGUGUUACUGCGAAGGGGACGGAGAAGGCUAUGUUAGCCGGGCGACGGUUGUCCCGGUUUAAGCAUGUAGGCUGGUUAUCCGCAAAUCCGGAUAAUCAAGGCUGAGGUGUGAUGACGAGGCACUACGGUGCUGAAGUAACAAAUGCCCUGCUUCCAGGAAAAGCCUCUAAGCAUCAGGUAACAUCAAAUCGUACCCCAAACCGACACAGGUGGUCAGGUAGAGAAUACCAAGGCGCUUGAGAGAACUCGGGUGAAGGAACUAGGCAAAAUGGUGCCGUAACUUCGGGAGAAGGCACGCUGGUGUGUAGGUGAAGUCCCUGCGGAUGGAGCUGAGACCAGUCGAAGAUACCAGCUGGCUGCAACUGUUUAUUAAAAACACAGCACUGUGCAAACACGAAAGUGGACGUAUACGGUGUGACGCCUGCCCGGUGCCGGAAGGUUAAUUGAUGGGGUUAUCCGUAAGGAGAAGCUCUUGAUCGAAGCCCCGGUAAACGGCGGCCGUAACUAUAACGGUCCUAAGGUAGCGAAAUUCCUUGUCGGGUAAGUUCCGACCUGCACGAAUGGCGUAAUGAUGGCCAGGCUGUCUCCACCCGAGACUCAGUGAAAUUGAACUCGCUGUGAAGAUGCAGUGUACCCGCGGCAAGACGGAAAGACCCCGUGAACCUUUACUAUAGCUUGACACUGAACAUUGAGCCUUGAUGUGUAGGAUAGGUGGGAGGCUUUGAAGCGUGGACGCCAGUCUGCGUGGAGCCAACCUUGAAAUACCACCCUUUAAUGUUUGAUGUUCUAACGUUGGCCCCUUAUCGGGGUUGCGGACAGUGUCUGGUGGGUAGUUUGACUGGGGCGGUCUCCUCCCAAAGCGUAACGGAGGAGCACGAAGGUUAGCUAAUCCGGUCGGACAUCAGGAGGUUAGUGCAAUGGCAUAAGCUAGCUUGACUGCGAGCGUGACGGCGCGAGCAGGUGCGAAAGCAGGUCAUAGUGAUCCGGUGGUUCUGAAUGGAAGGGCCAUCGCUCAACGGAUAAAAGGUACUCCGGGGAUAACAGGCUGAUACCGCCCAAGAGUUCAUAUCGACGGCGGUGUUUGGCACCUCGAUGUCGGCUCAUCACAUCCUGGGGCUGAAGUAGGUCCCAAGGGUAUGGCUGUUCGCCAUUUAAAGUGGUACGCGAGCUGGGUUUAGAACGUCGUGAGACAGUUCGGUCCCUAUCUGCCGUGGGCGCUGGAGAAUUGAGGGGGGCUGCUCCUAGUACGAGAGGACCGGAGUGGACGCAUCACUGGUGUUCGGGUUGUCAUGCCAAUGGCACUGCCCGGUAGCUAAAUGCGGAAGAGAUAAGUGCUGAAAGCAUCUAAGCACGAAACUUGCCCCGAGAUGAGUUCUCCCUGAGACUUUAAGUCUCCUGAAGGAACGUUAAAGACGAUGACGUUGAUAGGCCGGGUGUGUAAGCGCAGCGAUGCGUUGAGCUAACCGGUACUAAUGAACCGUGAGGCUUAACCUUACAACGCCGAAG
rnacentral:rRNA from 1 species